UUCAGUCAUUCCUUAGUUUAUUUUACUUUCAAAAUUUCUCACCAGGCAAGAGAACUUUUGAAAAAGCAGCAUCUUGUUUCCAUCUCCUGCUUCUGCACAAUUUGUACAGCUGGGAAAAGUGAAUCACAUGAAGAAGGUUAAGAGACUGCAGCUAAGUUUAGAUUAUAACCAUCAUGGCUCUUAGCUUUUAAUCAAACCAUCAGAACAAACUUCAAAGGUCACAAGAGAUAUCACAUGUGCCAAAACCUUAAUCCCUCCCACCUCAAAAAGGCCUAAUAAUAUUUCCAACCCAGGACAUGGUAAAAUUUGUGCGAUGCCAACAAGCUCCUCUGUGUGAAUAAAGUUAACAUAGUAACUGCAACAUACAGUUCACAUUGAGACAGGAGAGCAGAGAGAUUUACGAGGAGCCAUGUUUGUGUUUUAAAGUUUUAAAGGAGGGAAGUGUGACAAAAACACAUAUAAAUCAAAGCUGUCUUCUGACGUGGCUUGGAAUGCCGUAAAUCUUCCUCAUAUAUGGGUUACCUGGUUCUCAUCAGAAUACCUUCAUCAAACACUGCCUGCCUGCCUGCCUGCCUGCCUAGAGGAGGCUUCAAUCUGCAAAUCCUGAGGACUACCUGACCCAAGGAAGCCAAGAGGAACCGUGAACAGAGAAGGGAGAGGGAUGUCUCCUGUUCAAUUUACUAAUCAGCCUUCAUCAUGACAGGAGUACUCAAACCUUGCUGUUUGUCACAGAUGCCCGCUAUGAGAGAGGACAUUGAGAAGCUGUGGCUGCUCCAUCACUGCUGCCAAUGCACACCUGCUCCUGGUUCAGCAGAGCACAAGGGUUCACUCCCCAUCGGGACUGUCUCAAGGCUUUGUUAAAUCUGUGCAUGUCUCAUAGGUGUUUUUCUCUGUUCUAUAAACACUGUAUCUUUACUCAAAGUCCUGCAUUCCAGGGUCUACUCAUUGGGUCUACUGUGCAUGUUUUUUAAAUCAUUAAAACAGGAACCUUACUGUUGUUUUACAACACUGAUACACAAAGACACACAAUGCAAAUGACCAUUGUUCAGAUUCAUGCCAUGACCACUUACCUAUUUACUGUACUGCUUCAUAAAGACAAUAUUCACCAUAGCUUUACUGUUUCAUUUCUUGCACCCCUGGUACCCAUUUCAAGCACUGUUCCAUGUUCUACAAUGUCCUCAUAUUACACUGGACUGCUGUGUGAAGGUUCUGUCACAUAUCAAAUUAAAUAUACUAGAGCCGGGCACACUAGCAAUAGGCUACCAAGGCUAAUAAAUGAAAGGAUUCUAGGAAAAGAUUUGUUUCAUACUCACACAUGUUUUUUUUUUUUGUUUGUUUGUUUUAAUCAUCUGGGUUUGCAUUCUUAAGCUGACCUUUAUAAAAUGCAUUUCAACAGAAAAAAUAAAAAUGAUAUACCAUCAAGAUGAACCCUGCAUAUUGUUAUGAAAGAAACAAUUAUUGGACUUGCAAUGUAUGGAUGGUGUUACCUGUGAAAGUCAGAAGAAAUUACAUUGAUAAAAAUCUUAAUGACACACACACACAGGCACAAAACCAGAAUGGCAGUGAAAGGACACAAAGGGUAAGAAUGGACUAAAGGAAAUGGGAAACCACACGCUUGAAUGAAAUAGACAGAAAAUUGGAAAUACUUUUUUUUGUGAAGGUUUUUGGGUUGUUUUUUACAGAGCUCCUUUUUUUAGCAGCCCAGCUCUGUACCAAAGUCAUCCUGCUUCCAUGUUGUGGUGAGUUAGAGGCUGGGGAGACCCUUUCUAUUCUUGGCCAACUUGUGCAGCCCAAACAGUGCAUUAACAAUAAUGAAGAAAACAGUGGACUGUUUGUAUCUGUUUACUAUCCUGCAAUAUGUGUUCUUAGUCAUCAUUUAUUACUGGUUCAGCAUUCGUGGAUAAUUGGCAAGUUUUAAAAAGUCACCAGUACAUUGUACCUGACAGGUAUAAAAAUGACCACUAGGAUGCACUAGUAAUCCCCAUCAUCACUCCCACUCUAAAAAUAACUGUGAAACCAAUUAUUUUACUGGGAUUUCAACACAUAUUAAUUUGAUAAUCUGUUAUGCCAUAUCUGUAAGGUAUGAGUUUGUCUUACUUUACUUGAAGACGGGAAGCAUCAAUCCAGUUUUAGUACCUUUUAUCUGUAUGCAAAUCUGGGGCCAAACAAAUUUUAAGCUCAGCUGUUGUGCAUACAAUAAGAGACAGGUAAACUAUGUAAACUAUAAUGUACUACCAUAGUAUCUGCAAUUCGCAACUGCAGUGUCUCACAGAUAGUAUUCCAGGCUCACAGUUGGCUCCACUAGCAUUACAAGAUAUAUUUGUUUAACGAGUAGUACUGCUAUGGGUUUAUGAUUCUUUUUGAAAUAUUAACCAAUGCCUCAUUACAAUAAUUGUAGUACAGCACAUAAUAUGGACAGCUUACCAUGCAUUUCAUCCAAAUGCAGGAGCCAUGGUUAAUGUUGUCUGCUUAUUCUGCUCACCAGAGAAAUACAUAUUCAGUGCCUAGAAAGUCUACACCCCCUUUCAGAAUUUCAAAAUACCAUACAGCUAACAAGAACUUUUUAAAAUUGAGCCACUAACCAAGACACUUGAGAUAGAAUUUCCUGUAAAAAUGUUUCACUUAUGUCUAUCAGAAUUUUAAAUUGAAUUAUUGACCUUAAUAACAAAGACUGGAGUUCUGCAAAGAAAAUACCUAAAGAAAGACUAUGGGAGUUUUCUGGAUGAGAACUUGCUACCUUUAAACUGUGUUCAGACUAAAACCGAUUUCAGACCCUGGAGAUUGGUUUUGACAAAAGAUCUACUGUGUUUAUACAAGUAUAUUACUUUAUACAAGUACAGUUCAGAUUGAGAUUGGUAGCUGCAGUAUUCCUUUACCAUUUAAUCAACC